rnacentral:rRNA from 1 species
GUGGAGCGCUUAGAAGUGAGAAUGCCGGUGUGAGUAGCGAAAGACGGGUGAGAAUCCCGUCCACCGAUUGACUAAGGUUUCCAGAGGAAGGCUCGUCCGCUCUGGGUUAGUCGGGUCCUAAGCUGAGGCCGACAGGCGUAGGCGAUGGAUAACAGGUUGAUAUUCCUGUACCACCUAUAAUCGUUUUAAUCGAUGGGGGGACGCAGUAGGAUAGGCGAAGCGUGCGAUUGGAUUGCACGUCUAAGCAGUAAGGC